CACCUUCAGGAAGGUGUAACUCCUCCACCACCUACUCUCUCUGCAUUACCUGCAGGUGGUUUUCCUGGCAAAGUGAUUUUGUAGAGUUGCUUCAGCAGUGACAAAAAGUAGGACUUCAGGUGACUACAAAAAAUGCAUAGUUGCAGCUAACAGACACAGAACAAAAAAUCCUCUCAAAAGAUGUAAGAAAAAUUUUUUGAGAACUGAAGAAGCCAGGACCUGAUCAAUGCAAGGUGUAGUAAUCCUGAGAGAAAGCUUUGCUGGGAGCUGGGUGUUAAUGUUAAGAACUCCUUUCUUCUUCUAGGGGCUUAUGACUGAUUUUCUCCAGUGUCUCAAUGGAACAAACAAAUGUGAAUUUCAUCUGUACUAGAACAAACUAGGAAAAGUUUAGUUUUGCAGUAGAAUGAGGUACAUUUUUGGCUUGGGGCUUAGGCAGCCUAGGCAGGUGUUCUUGAAUAAAUAUGACACCUGAA